rnacentral:lncRNA from 1 species
AUGACAGAAAUUCAAGGGAUGUUGGGAAGUGAAAUAUCUACAAGACUCACCAAGUAUAUUGAUCUUGAGGUGAGGACUCACCCCUCACUGGGAGAAAUAGUUAGGAAAGCAAUAUGUAAAAACAAAGUCAUGAAUCUGACAAGAAAUGUACUUAAGAGAAAAGACCAUGUGAGGACACAGUAAGAAGGAGGCCAUAUGCAAAGCAGAAAGGAAGACCUCACCAGAACCAAAAACCAACCCUGCUGGCACCCUCAUCUUGGACUUCUAGCCUUUCUCAGAACUGUGAGAAAAUAAAUUUCUGGUGUUUCAGUCACUCAGCCUGUGGUCAUUUGUUAUGCAACCCUAGCAGACAAACAGGGACCUAACUUAAGAACUGGUUAAAAAUGAGGCCAGUUAAGAAUUUGAUAUGCUAUGGCUGGGAAGGUUUGAUUUAUUCUAAAUGCAAUGGAAUGGAGCUGGGGAUAUAAAUUUGGGAUUUAUUGGCAGGUGAAAUAUAUUUUAAAAUACACUAAAAUUAAAUUUCCUCAGGACAGAAUGUAGAUAGAAAAGAAUCAAGAUUUUAUGACAAAAAUCCAAGUCACUCCAAUGUUAGAGUUCUCCCAAACAUUUAAAGAAGGCUUACGCUGAUUCUAUACAGCAUCUUCCAAAAAUUAUAAAUUCUUUACAGCAUCUUUCCAACUUAUUUUAU